rnacentral:rRNA from 1 species
UACGUAGGGCGCAAGCGUUGUCCGGAAUUAUUGGGCGUAAAGAGCUCGUAGGCGGUCUGUCGCGUCUGCCGUGAAAACCCGAGGCUUAACCUCGGGCUGGCGGUGGAUACGGGCAGACUAGAGGUAGGUAGGGGAGAAUGGAAUUCCCGGUGUAGCGGUGAAAUGCGCAGAUAUCGGGAGGAACACCGGUGGCGAAGGCGGUUCUCCGGGCCUUACCUGACGCUGAGGAGCGAAAGCGUGGGGAGCGAACAGG